GGGCACGUAGCUCAGUGGAUAGAGCAUUAGAUUCCGGUUCUAAGUUAGCGGAGGUUCGACUCCUCUCGUGCCCG
rnacentral:tRNA from 4 species